CCUCCCCCAAGUCCCGGUGAUACGCCUCCCCACCUCCCGGCAAUGCGCGACGCCUACUCCGGUGACGCGCACCGCACCCCCCACUCCACGGCGACGCCCCUCGCAGUUCCUCCCGACGACGCGCACCACGACCGGUGAUGCAGAUCCCUCCACCCCACAGCAUCGGCAACUCCCUCCAUCGGAUGCUGGUCGCGUCCAUCCACCCGCCUCCCUCCGUUCGCGACCCUUCUCCUGUCCGUCUGCGAUCCUUCUCCUUGUCCGGCCCUCCCUUCACUCCCUCCACCGCGCUCCGCCUAUCGUAUACCACCAUCGAGCGCGUAGGCCGCCAAGGCCAACAAGCCACCAUGCUCGCCACAGAACAGGCCCCCGCUGGAUCCCCACCACCGGGUAGCCUGGGCAGCUCCAGGUGGUCACCUCGUCCUGGAUCCAGGUGGUGGUCGCGGCCAGGAUACAGCUAGCUCAAGGGAGGGGUCGCCGGUUUUGUGAAGUUCAAGUUUCAAAGUUCUGCAAGUCCAGUGAAAAAAUCGGUAAGUUUCGUGCGUGUGCUGCUACAAAUCUGAACUUAUUGUCCACGCAUACUAGUACCGAUGAAUAUCGAGUUGAUGAAAAUGUACUAUUACAUGAUAUUGUAGUAUAAGUCAAUGCACAUGAUAAUGCUCAGGCUUGAUGGUUAGAUAUUGAAGUCUCAGCAUGUGCUGCCAUGAUCUAUUAGAUAACUCAUCUCAGCAUGUACAAGCCAACUUGCAUGUUAAAGAUCAAACCAUAGGACCACAUGAUUUUGGUUUUCUUGUAAAAAUGGUAGUUGUAAUGACAGGCAGAACAACACCAAAUUGCUCGUAUUUGUUAUCAGAUCCAAAAGUGUAUUUUCAUCUGAUUAUCUUGCUGUAAUUUGAGCGUAACAUACUGUCAUAAACUAUGUACCAAUUUUCAUUUAGCUUCAAAGUUGAAUACAGUAGUACAGAAAUGUUCUUCAGUCAGCUCGUCAUACUUAAUGGGAAAUACAACAGCCACAUCAACACUGGUGAAAACAGGUCAUUUGACACUUCAUUUGAUCUUGGAAAUGCACAGCAAAGGCCAGUAAACCAUAGUGAAAGCUAAAUAACUUUUUUGGAACUGAACCUAGUCUUUACAUCUCAUCAAGACAGAGAUCAUAGAACAAGUAAUUACUCCUAUAGAAGAUCAUCCAGCCUCUAGGGAUUAAUUAGUUCUCAAAAUUCAUGCUGAACAAACACGAAUUCUCAGUCCUACGUUAUAUUUGAGCAAUCAAUAUGUCUAACAAUUGUUAACCAGCGCUGCAGUUGUAAGUGAUGUCCCACUAAGAAGUUGCUCAAAUUAAAAUGUGUUAUCUGAUCCCUUCCUAAUUUUGCUACUUGAAUGCAUUUUAUUUUGUGAUUUCCAGUCCUUUUUAAGAUUCAGGUGAUUUUCUGCCAUGGGAAGAAAUGCUGAAAUAUCAUCAUCAUAAACGAACUAUCAUCUAUUUUAUUUCCUGAAACACAAACUAGCUGUGCCAGUUCAAUAUGUGAAUUCUCAUCAGUACAUGGCUUCCUCCGUCGUGUGAUCAAUGGUCGGAGCUCACCGAUGACGGAGGAUGUGGAGCUUCACUACCAUCCGCAGCUCCAGCCGUGGUCCGGAUCAUACUGAGGCUCUGGACCCUCCCUCAUAAACUCACCUCGAGGACAUCUAUUUUAUUUCCUGAAACACAAACUAGGUGUGCCAGUUUAGUAUGUGAACUAUCAUCAGUUUGUGAAAAACACAUAUGACAGUACUAUGUGUGUGUGUGCAAAAUAAAACCGAGUGUUUUUAUUGUACAAUAGUUUUGCACCAAAAGGUUAUUCUGAUGCGGGUGGCUAGUGUUGCAGUAGUUCAGAAUGCUGAACCCACAUUGAUGCAGGCGCUCAUGAGUAGAGGCAGGUGCACCCAUGAGCAUUCUUCCAAUGUGGUGUUCACCGCCGGCGCCACAGUCCGUUCACGGUCGAUAGCUGAGGCCGUUCAAUGACACAACGACGAGGUAUUGCUAGAGUACUGUCUAGUCUGAAGCGAGCUACACAUUCGCACAUGAGUCGGUGCUCCUGAUGUGCUCUAAUUAGCAAUAGAAAAUGACAAGGGAGUGCAUCCAAAAGAUAGGUGGCAAGCAUGACUGUUGCGGUGUGUUGAUAACUGAAUUGAAGGAUCUUCAGUAUAUGAACCACAAAAGAGAGGUGCAUCCCGUACAAACAAAGAAGUGCAUGCAGUACAUCGGCUCAAGAUCCAAUGGUUCAAUUAUCUUUUGGUUUGGCAAAAUGCUUCUCUUGCAGGUUUUUUGUUUUGCUGUAAUUUUCAUUUAUAUCACAGGAUGUAACACCAUCUCCGAAACAAAUGCAUAUGUUCAGUUAAGAACUUGGCGUGGUGGGUGUACUGUUGAUAAUAUGAACUUGUUUCUCUCAACUAUAGAAAACAUGUAACCUUUGUUGUGCUGCUCUGCAAUUUCUCCAGAAAAUAUGGAUUGUUUCGGUUUAA